rnacentral:rRNA from 1 species
UACGAAGGGUGCAAGCGUUACUCGGAAUUACUGGGCGUAAAGCGUGCGUAGGUGGUUCGUUAAGUCUGAUGUGAAAGCCCUGGGCUCAACCUGGGAAUGGCAUUUGGGACUGCAAGGCUGGAGUGUGGCAGAGGAGACUGGAAUUCCUGGUGUAGCAGUGAAAUGCGUAGAUAUCAGGAGGAAUACCGAUGGCGAAGGCAGGUCUCUGGGCUAACACUGACGCUCAUGCACGAAAGCGUGGGGAGCAAACAGG